rnacentral:misc_RNA from 1 species
CAGAGUUGCAAAACUCCCUAAACCAUCGUGAACCGUACCACUAGACAGGUUGCUUCGGCGGUGGCUCGAGGCCCCUGCACGGGGGCAGGACGCCUACCCCGAGUACUCUUGGUUAUCCAGGCCUCUCUGAGUAUUGAUCUUAAAUAAGUCA